rnacentral:snRNA from 1 species
GUGCUCCCUUUGGCAGCAUAUAUACUAAAAUCGGAACAAUACAAAGAAGAUUAGCAUGGCCCCUGCGCAAGGAUGACACACAAAUUUGUGAAGCGUUAAAAAAUUUU